rnacentral:siRNA from 1 species
UCGCUUAUAUGGCAUGUCUGGGUA